rnacentral:rRNA from 1 species
AGAUUGAACGCUGGCGGCAUGCCUUACACAUGCAAGUCGAACGGCAGCACGGGGGCAACCCUGGUGGCGAGUGGCGAACGGGUGAGUAACAUAUCGGAACGUGCCCUGGAGUGGGGGAUAACUAGUCGAAAGAUUAGCUAAUACCGCAUACGAUCUACGGAUGAAAGUGGGGGAUCGCAAGACCUCAUGCUCGUGGAGCGGCCGAUAUCUGAUUAGCUAGUUGGUGGGUAAAGGCCUACCAAGGCAUCGAUCAGUAGCUGGUCUGAGAGGACGACCAGCCACACUGGGACUGAGACACGGCCCAGACUCCUACGGGAGGCAGCAGUGGGGAAUUUUGGACAAUGGGCGCAAGCCUGAUCCAGCAAUGCCGCGUGAGUGAAGAAGGCCUCGGUUGUAAGCUCUUUGUCAGGAAGAAACGGUGGAGGCUAAUACCUUCUGCUAAGUAGACGUACUAGAAGAAGUAA